AUUGAACGCUGGCGGCAUGCCUUACACAUGCAAGUCGAACGGUAACAGGUCUUCGGAUGCUGACGAGUGGCGUACGGGUGAGUAAUACAUCGGAACGUGCCCGAACGUGGGGGCUAACGCGGCGAAAGCUUUGCUAAUACUGCAUACGAUCUACGGAUGAAAGCGGGGGGUCUUCGGACCUCGCGCGGGAGGAUCGGUCGAUGGCAGAUUAGGUAGUUGGUGGGAUAAAAGCUUACCAAGCCGACGAUCUGUAGCUGGUCUGAGAGGAUGAUCAGCCACACUGGGACUGAGACACGGCCCAGACUCCUACGGGAGGCAGCAGUGGGGAAUUUUGGAGAAUGGGCGAAAGCCUGAUCCAGCCAUGCCGCGUGCAGGAUGAAGGCCUUCGGGUUGUAAACUGCUUUUGUACGGAACGAAAAGCCUCUUUCUAAUAAAGAGGGGUCAUGACGGUACCGGAAGAAUAAGCACCGGCUAACUACGUG
rnacentral:rRNA from 1 species